UGGGGGUGAGAUGUGGGGUUGUGGGGAAGGGGAUAUGGGUUCGGGUUUUCUGGUUUUUUUUUUUUUUUUAGGGUUAAUAUUAUAAUAUUGUUAAUGUAUAAAAAUUUAUUUUUUUUUGCCAUGUGGCAGCCACAUCAGCACAAAUGUGGCAGCCACGUCAGCAUUUAACAGACCAUUGGAUGGAAAAUCUAACGGAGGUGUUGUUUUGAAAUAAAAUAGUACGUGAGGUAUGAAAGUGAAAUGUUUUAAAGAUGUUGUAUGAGGUUGUAAUAGACCUCAAACCUGAGGGGUUUCUAUGUAAUUUACUCAAAUAAUAUUUGUAUUAAUGAUUUAGGGGUUACAAUCUCUUUUACAAAUUUAGCCUCUGAUUUUAUCAUUGUAAUGGGUAGAUUUGAUGUUGUUGAUCCAAAAGGCCGUCGGGGCUUGAUCCUGGAUGAACGAUUGAUGAAUGAUGAACACUUUCUUCAAGGGCCGUCGGGGCUUGAUCUUGAAUUAGUGGAAGUUUCUUCAAGGGCCGUUGGGGCUUGAUCUUGAAGGAGGAUUUUUACGAAGAACGAAGAGGGCUUUCUUGAUUCUUCAGGAUUUGCUUGAGAGCUUUAGAGUUUCAAGGCUUCAAGGCUUUGGUGUGGCAUGAAUUCUCUUCCAAUUUGAGAGUAGAGAAAAUGUGUGUGAAUUCCCCCUAUUGCUUGAUAGAGAAGCCUAUUUAUAGGCUUUGAGAAUGAAUCACCACCAUCCAUUUGUUUGGUGAAAUAAGUGGAUGUUGUAGGUGGGAUGAGUGUGUGUUGUAGGUAAGGUGAGUGUAUGAUGUAUGUUAAGUGAGUGUAUGAUGUAGGUGAUAUGAAUGGGGUUUGUAAUUUUAAUACAAUUGUCAAUACUUAUUUCACCGAAAUUUCAAUGUUUACAGUCUCGAUGCGUGCUAGGGAGUAGUAGUGCGAACCUCAGGUAAGUGGGUCUUUUCCUUUAUAUUAUAUAUAUAUAUAUAUAUAUGUGUGUGUACAGGCGCUUUAUGCAAAGGGAUCCCCAUUUUUUGAAAAAAAAUGGGGAUUAGGUGUGGGGCUCACUCCACAUCGAACUUCAACGAUCUGAGCCGUCUAUUUUGUAAGUCUCGAUUCAUAGAUCAUUCUUGCAAAAAUUCAAUUUAAUCCGAAACCAUUUGCCUAUUUAAUUAUCAAGAUAAAAUUUCAUUGUUUCUUAUAUAACAAAGUAUUCGUUCAUUUCUUUGAACCCAAUUAGAUGUCUUAAACAUUUCCGAUUUGGCUAAUAUUUUGUAAAGAUAAUCUAUGAGGUGCAACUUGAAAAAUAGACGGUUCAGAUCGUUAAAGUUCGAUGUAAUGUGGACCCCGCAACUAAUCCCCAUUUUUAUAAAAAAAUGGGGAUCCCUUUCCUUAAAGAUUUCCUAUAUAUGUAUAUGUAUAUGUAUAUAUAUAUAUAUAUAUAUAUAUAUAUAUAUAUGAUUGAUAAUUUCACAAAUGGUUAUAAAUUGAUUACUGCAUAUCAUUAUUGUGAAUGCUUUGAAGUACUAAUGCUAACUAUGAAUGGCUUGAUCCCCAUUUAAGGUACGUAGGCAGUCUAACGAGACGUUAGAUGCAGCCAUAUAAUAGUUGAAACAAAAACCUUGUUUGGGAAUUGAGCAAUGUGAAGGAAAUUGGUGAAAAUAUGAGAUUUAACCUUAUGUUUUUAGUGAUUGGAGGUUGGUCAUAAAUCAAUAUGGAAGGAAUCAAGAAAUUAAAAUAAGGAAACGUGAGUAAUGAUAGUUAAUUAAACCAGUGUUUGUUUAGUUGGACUUAUCCCCGAUAAUUAUUUUUGAAAAUAAAUAAUUCGGGAGUAGGGCGUUAUAGAUUGUGUGUUUUACGCCACAUUAUAUUUACAUGUAUUUAUUGGAAAAAUACUAUGAUAUGGUUGAGUUUUAGAUUUGCAUUAUGGCAUAUCCAUGUGUAUACUACCUGCAUAAAAUUAUUAUGAAUGCUUUGAAAUGCGAAGGUGAACGCAGAACACACAGGUAAGUUCAUAUGAGUUAUGGUAUUAGUGGAAAUGAUUGAGUUAUGGCAUGAUCACAUUUAUGUUUUAGGCAACUCUGACAUUGUUGUACAUGUUGCCUAUGAGUUGUAUAUGUCAUAUGAGAUGCAUUUAGAGCUCAUAAACCUGCACCUCGGAGUUAGUGCUCCUGCCUGUGGCCAGGGCACAAUCCUUCACAUGAUGUUCACCUCCCACACCAUACGUUCACCUUGGAUUCAAGGUAGGUGCACAGUCCUAUCGUACAGACCACUAUAGGUGGUUCUGACUAGUAGGUGACCCGUGAUUAUUCGCAGUCUUCACGUGAUAUUAGCACUUGAGCGUAUUUAUUUACACCUAGUCCUAUUGUACAGACCACUUUAGGUGGUUCCGACUUGUGUGCAGGUAUACUUAUUGAGCUAUGGAUAAAUCGUUCAGGUCACUAGAGGUGAGUCCGACUUAUGAGCUAGCAUAUGUGAUGAGCUAGCAUAUGUGAUGAGAUAUGUGAUGAGCUAGCAUAUGUAAUGAAAUAUGUGAUGAGCUAGCAUAUGUGAUGAAAUAUAUGAUGAGCUAGCCUAUGUGAUGAGAUAUGUGAUGAGCUAGCAUAUGUGAUGAGAUAUGUGAUGAGCUAGCAUAUGUGAUGAUAUGUGACGAGCUAGCCUAUGUGAUGAAAUAUGUGACGAGCUAGCAUAUGUGAUGAAAUAUGUGAUAAGCUAGGAGGAGCUAGCAUAUGUGAUGAAAUAUGUGAUGAGCUAGCAUAUGUAAUGAAAUAUGUGAUGAGCUAGCAUAUGUAAUGAAAUAUGUGAUGAGCUAGCAUAGGUGAUGAAAUAUGUGAUGUGCUAGUAUAUGUAAUGAAAUAUGUGAUGAGCUAGCAUAUGUGAUGAGCUAGCAUAUAUGAUGAGAUAUAGGGGCAGUCGUACAGGUCACCAUAGGUGACUCCGACUUGCAUGUUAGUAUGGGUUAUUAAUCAUAUGAUUAUUGAUAUUGCUGAUGAGAUGUUGUGUUAUGGUAUAUUUAUGAUUUUUUUGGAAACUAUACAGGUAUUGUAGCGAGGGGUUAUAAUGUUUUAUAUGGUUUCUAUUAAAAUUUUAUUUCUAAGGCCACUCACCUUGUAUUGUUUUCACCCUUCAGGUUUUAUUAGUGGAGCUUUCUUAUUGUUGAAGAUUCAUGGCGAUUCUUAGUAUUGGAGAUUCUUUCGAGGGUAUGGUUCUUAAUUCACUCUACUGUACUUACUUAUACUCUAAGGUUUAAAUUUAUUCACAUUUUUCCACAUCAUCACACUUUAUGGCUUCCUCACCUUCAAGGUGUCGGCAAGCACAGCUCAAUUCAGAGUCAUAGUGGACAUUCCGAGUCGCGGUGUGUCAACUAAGGCCCUAAAAAUGUGUACUCAAAAGAUAAAAAAUUUAUUGGGUGUAAAAAAAACUUAGUUUUUCUAUUUUGAGUGCAUUUCAAAUUUUUUCCACAUUAAUAAAAACAAGCAAGCAUGCUUUUGACACCUUGUGGCACUUAAGUGAAUAAACACACAUAAUGCGCUCCUAGGACCCUAACAGUGAGUAAACAAAAGAUCAAACGCUUAUUGAGUGCAAAAAGUACACAAUUUUUUAUUUUGAGUGCAUUUGGACUAUUUUUUGGCAUUAAUAAAAACUAACAAGCGUGCGUUCGACAACCAUUGGAACUCAAGGAAAUAAACAUAUAUAAUGCACUACUUGGACCAUAAGAAUGUGCACUCAAAAGAUAAAAUACUUAUUGGGUGUCAAAGGUACACUAUUUUUUGCAUUAAUAAAAGCAAACAUGCAUUUGACACCCAACGGAAAUUAAGCAAAUAAACACAUAUAAUGCGCUACUAGGGCCCUAGGAAUGUGUGCUCAAAAUAUCAAAAGUUUAUUGGGUGUCAAAAAUACAUAGUUUUUCUAUUUUGAGUGCAUUUCAAUUGCUUUCCACAUUAAUAAAAACAAACGAGAGUGCAUUUUACAUCCAUUGGAACUUAAGCAAAUAAACACAUAUAAUGUGGUACUACGACCAUGCGAAUGUGUACUUAAAAUAUCAAAAGCUUAUUUGGUUGUACUGUUUUUCACAUUAUUAAAACCAAAUGAUCGUGCAUUUGACAACCUUUGGAACGCAAGCAGACAAACGCAUAUAACGCGCCACUAGGACCAUAAAAUUGUUCACUCAAUGGAACUUAAGCAAAUAAACGCAUGUAAUGGGCCACUAGGACCGCAAGAAUGUGUAGUCAAAGGAUCAAAAGCUUAUUGGGUGUCAAAAGUACACAGGUUUUUUUUUUUUUUUGAGUGCAUUUGGACUAUUUUCCGCAUUAAUAAGAACAAAGGAGCAUGCGUUUGAAACAAUAUGGAACUUAAGCAAAUAAACACAUAUAAUGUGGUACUAGGACCAUAAGAAUGAGUACUUAAAAAAUCGAAAGCUGAUUAAGUGUCAAAAGUACCCAGUUUUUCUAUUUUGUGUGCAUUUGGACUGUUUUCCUCAUUAAUAAAAACAAAUGAGCGUACGUUUGACACAAAUUGGAACUUAAGCAAAUAAAUACAUUUAACAUGCUGCUUGGAUCAUAAUUAUGAGUACUCAAAAGAUCAAAAGCUCAUAGGGAGUCAAAAGUACAUAAUUUUUCUAUUUUGAGUGCAUUUCCACUGUUUUCGGCAUUAAUAAGAACAAACGAGCAUGCAUUUGACAACCAUUAGAACUCAAGGAAAUAAACACAUAUAAUUCCCUUCUAAGACCCAAAGAAUGUGUACUCAAAAGAUCCAAAGCUUAUUGGGUGUCGAAAGUACACAGUUUUUCUAUUUUGAGUGCUUCGGACUAUUUUCCAUAUUAAUAAAAACAAAUGAGCUUGCGUUUGACAUCAUAUGGAACUUAAGGGAAUAAAAACAUUUGAUGCACUACUCGGACCAUAGGAAUGCGUACUCAAAAGAUAAGCAACUAAACAAAUAUAAUGCGCGACUAGCGUGUGUUUCACACCCUUUCAAAGUUAAGCAAAUAAACACAUAUAAUGUGUGACUAGGACCACAAGAAUGAGUACUCAAAAAAUGAAAAGUUGAUUGGGUGUCAAAAGUAUAAAGUUUUUCUAUUUUGAAUCCAUUUGGACUGUUUUUGGUAUUAAUAAAAACAAACGAGCGUGCGUUUGACAACCAUUGGAACUUGAGCAAAUAAACACAUAUAAUGCAUUACUUAGACCAUAAGAGCGUGCGUUUGACACCAAUUGGAACUCAAGCAAAUAAACAAAUAUAAUGCGCUGCUAGGACCAUAAUAAUGAGUACUCAAAAGAUCAAAAGCUUAUUGGGUGUCAAAAGUACACAGUUUUUCUAUUUUGUGUUCAUUUGCACAGUUUUCAAAAUUAAUAAAAACAAACGAGCGGGUGUUUGACAACCAUUGGAACACAAGGAAAUAAACACAUAAAAUGCGCUACUACGACCAUAAUAAUAAGUUCCCAAAAGAUCAAAAGCUUAUUGAGUGUGAAAAGUACACAAUUUUUCUAUUUUGAGUCCAUUUGGACUAUUUUCGGAAUUAAUAAAAACAAAUGAGCAUGCAUUUUACAACCAUUGGAACUCAAGGAAAUAAGCACAUAUUAUGCACUUCUAGGACUUUAAGAAUGUGCACUCAAAAGAUCAAAAACUUAUUAGGUGUCAAAAGUACACAAUUUUUAAUUUUGAGUGCUUUUGUACUGGUUUCUGCAUUAAUAAAAACAUAUGAGCGUGCAGUUGACACCUUAUGGAACUUAUGAAAAUAAAAACAUAUAAUACACCACUAGGACCAAUAGAAUGAGUACUCAGAAGAUUAAAAGGAUAUUAGGUUUCAAAAGUACACAGUUUUUCUAUUUUUAGUGCAUUUGAAUUGUUUUCCGCAUUAAUAAAAAUAAACGAGCGUGAGCUUGCACCAAUUAGAAGCCAAGCAAAUAAACACAAAUAAUGCAGUGCUAGUACCACCAAAAUGUUCACUCAAUAGAUCAAAAACUUAUUGGGUGUCAAAAUACACGGUUUUUAAAUUUUGAGUGCAUUUGUACUGUUUUCUGAAUUAAUAAAAACAAAUGAGCUUGCCGUUGACACCCAUUGGAACUUAAGCAAAUAAACAAACAUAAUGCGCUACUAGGACCAUAAGAAUGUGUAUUCAAAUGCUUGCGAUUGACACCCAUUUGAACUUAGCAAUGAAACAUAUAUAAUGAGUUACGAGGACUAUAAGAAUGUGUACUCAAAAUAUCAAAAACUUAUUGGGGAUCAAAAGUACACAGUUUUUCAAAUUUUUUAGUGCAUUUGGACUGUUUUCCGCAGUAAUAAAAACAAAAUGAGAGUGCAUUUGACACCCUAAGGAACUUAAACAAAUAAACACAUAUAAUGCGGUACUAGGACCAUAAGAAUGUGCACUCAAAAUAUCAAAAGUUUAUUGGGUGUCAAAAGUACACCAUUUUUCUAUUUGAGUGCAUUUGGAUUGCUUUUCAUAUUAAUAAAAACAAACGUGCGUGCAGUUGACACCUAUUGGAACUCAAAGAAAUAAACAUAUAUAAUGCACUACUAGGGCCAUAAGAAUGUGUAAUCGAAAGUUCAAAAACUUUUUGGGUGUUAAAAGCACACAGUUUUUCUAGUUUGAGUGCAUUUGGACCGUUUUCCUCAUUAAUAAAAACAAUGAGCGUGCAUUUGACACCCUAAGGAACUUAAACAAAUAAACACGUAGAGUACAGUACUAGGACCGUAAGAAUGUGCACUCAAAAGAUCAAAAGUUUAUUGGGUGCCAAAAGUACACAAUUUUUCUAUUUGAGUGCAUUUGAAUUGUUUUCCAUAUUAAUAAGUACAAACGUGUGUGCGUUUGACAUCCAUUGGAACUUAAACAAAUAAACAUAUAUAAUGUGCUCCUAUGACCAUAAGAAUGUCUACUCGAGAGUUCAAAAGCUUUUUGGGUGUGGAAAGUGUUGGAAAUAUGCCCUGAAAGUCAAUCUUUGGAAGAAACCUUUCAGGACAAAUGAAUC
rnacentral:lncRNA from 1 species